rnacentral:rRNA from 1 species
GACGAACGCUGGCGGCGGGCUUAACACAUGCAAGUCGAACGGAUACUUCGGGAUUAGUGGCAGACGGGGGAGUAACGCGUGGGGACGUACACUUUGCUACGGAAUACCUCAGGGAAAGUUGAGCUAAUGCCGUAUGUGCCCUAAGGGGGAAAGAUUUAUCGGCAAAGGAUCGGCCCGCGUGGGAUUAGGUAGUUGGUGGGGUAAUGGCCUACCACGGGCUGGAUCCAUAGCUGGUUUGAGAGGAUGGUCAGCCACACUUGGACUACGACACGGCCCAGACUCCUACGGAAGGGAGCAGAGGGUAAUAUAGGACAACGGGCGCAAGCCUGAUCCCGCCAUGCCGCGUAAGUGAUGAUGGUCGUAGGAAUCUAAAGCGCUUUCACCGGUGAAGAUAAUGACGGUAGCCGGUGAAGAAGCCCCGGCUAACUUCGUG